AGUGGGAGUGUUGGAUCAUAUGGUAGGUCUUUUAUUAACUUUUUGAGGACCCUCCAUACUGUUUUCCAAAAUGGCUAUACUAAUUUACAUUUCCACCAACAGU
rnacentral:pre_miRNA from 1 species